AGAGAAUCGCUUGAACCUGGGAGGUGGACGUUGCAGUGAGCCGAGAUCAUGCCGCUGCACUCCAGCCUGGGUGACAGAA
rnacentral:snRNA from 1 species